CCUUUAAUGUUCAAGACAUUUUCUUUUUAAAGAAACAUAUGUUUUUAAGAGUAUUUGAUAUUUUCAUGACUUUUCUUCUUCUUUAACUUCCAGCAUUCAGUAAAAUGGCGUUGGUGCUGGAGCUUCUGCAGAUGCCUAAGUCUCUGGUUAUUGUACCUUCUGUUUUGGAGCCUGAGGACGCUCUUUCCUGCAACUCUGUUUUCUUCUGUUAGUUCUGGCCUCUCUCCAUGCCUGGAGUGUGCGCCAGUGUCAGAGAUGGAGACUUGGAAGACGUGUUGACCAAAAGAAACUAGCGUGGCAGUUUCUGGCUAAACCUUCCGUAAAGCUUCUAUUCAUUAAACCUGAUUUUUCUCCUUUGUUUGCUAGCACAGUGCUAUCAUCUGCCAAUUUUGUAUUUAUAUAUCUUUUCAAAUGAAUUCACUGAUUUGAAUUUGAGUCCUGUUGAUUCCCU
rnacentral:lncRNA from 1 species